GCGCGCUGCUCUGUCUUGCAGCGCUGGGGAAGGAACUCAGGGCCUGGGCCAUGCCAGACAAGUGCUCACCGCUGAGCUGCACCCCAGCCCCUGUGUGUCUGGCACAUCCACAGGCCUGGCAUGGGGCGGCAGAGGGAAGAACCUGGAAAAAAACCUUCUAUGCUGAAAAGCGCAUGCGCCGAACUCCGCGGUCAGUCCCAGCCCCACCACCAUCGUUCUGUCACCUGAAUGAUGUCAUCAUUCUAGGGACCAGAGAAGAUCAGUUGGGAGGGUUGGCUCUUCGGUUGAGGGUCUCUCUGCUAUAUAAUCCAGGAUGGCCUCAUACGCGUGAUCCUCCUGCUUCAGCCUCCCAAUAGCUGUGAUUACAGGUGUGUGGGACUGUGCCUGGGUUGUAUCUUUUCUUUUCUUUCCUUCCUUUUCUUUUCUUUCUUUCUUGUUGUACUGGACAUAGAACCUGUGACCUUCACAUUAAGCUAUAUCCUGAGCCCUUUAUUAAUUUUUUGACAGGGCCUCACUAAAUUCCCCAGGCUGGGCUCAAAGUUUUGACCUUCCUGCCUCAGCCUCCUAGAGUGCUGAGGUGACAGGUGUGCAACUAUUUAUUGUUGUAUUUGACAGUUGAAGAAACAGAAGCUCAGAGAUGUGAAGCCACUUGUGUGAGGACACCUAGCUGUGAAGGGGAGGAUCUGGAAUUUGAACUCGUGCUUUUACAUGUCAUAGAUGCUACUUCUCACAGGGGACCGAAGGCAGCCAACUGGCCGAGGGCCUGGCCAUUGAUUUCUGUUCCCUUGGUCUCAGUCUCCCCAUCUGUUCAAGGGAAGAGUUACCGCUGCUCCUUAAAUUCCCUAAACCUGACUCACUGGGCUCUUAAGAUUGUCAGAUGAAAGAAAUACCACUACGGGACACCCGAAAAGUAAAUUUCAAUUUCCCAUAAACAGUGAAUGAUUCUUCAGUGUCCGUAUGCCCCCAAUAUGAAUGAGGUUAAGUACAGUGCAUGAGCCCCCAGUCCCUGCACCCGCUCCCGCCUCCAGACUACAAAUCCCAUAACCCAUUGCAUCAUCCCUUUAGCAACGGGCUAUCAUGAUUAUUUUUACUCUUUUUUCAUUCAUUCAUCCUAAAAUUGUAUGUAGCCCAUCCAUGGGGUGCCAAGAGUUGUGUUUAGGAGUCUGGGAAUACAACAAUACACAAAUCAGAUUAAGAUCUCAGUCUCCAGGGAGUUUAACAUCUAUAAUCCUUGCGAAUUUUAUUUUAUUUUUU
rnacentral:lncRNA from 1 species